AGGGAUAUAGCUCAGUUGGUAGAGUGCUUGCUUUGCAUGCAGCAGGCCCUGGGUUCAAUCCCCAGCACCACAA
rnacentral:tRNA from 1 species